GAAUAUCAUUAAGAGUUCCGUGAAAGUCACGGAUGCCAACCGAUCCUUCGCAGGGCACGGUGGAAAAAAAAGAUGAGAGGCUCGCACCUAAAAACAAAUAGCGAAUC
rnacentral:ncRNA from 10 species